rnacentral:lncRNA from 1 species
UUUUAUGUAACGCUACCGCCACCGUGGCCGCAGUGACUCGGGCCUCUCGCAGCUUCUGAAGCCCCGCAAGAAGCGGGGCGAGCCUCUUCUGCUCCUCGGCCGGAGCGCCCCACACCCACUUCUGGGGGGCCUCUGUCACCACCCACCCAGUGUACUUCGGCAGGAGACCGCCGUCAUUCCGGAGGUAGAACCAUGCGCUCUGCCACCCCCGGUUUGAC